GUUAACCUGGAAGAAAGAAAGAAGCAACUAGGUGGGGAGAGGAGUCAGUUUUCCAUUUCCUGGAAUUCCAACUGGGGAAGAACCUGUUUGGACCUGGUUUGACCACACUUCCAGGUCCUGAGGGCAGGGCACUAGGGAGCAUUAGCACAGCAGCGAGCCACAGCAGCACCACGGCAUCCAGCCUGGCUAACGUUCCCAAGAGGAGAUACAUAAUCACGGGUGAUGACAUAGGGUAUACCUGGAUGAACUUAAUAUACAUUUAUUUUAUAAGUAUGAGAAGAAAAUGACAUCCACACUUCAAACAACAAUUUCACUGAUACUGUUGCUUAGGACCAGAGCUAUGACGGAUGGUUCCAUAAUAAUCCCCUUCAUGCCGAUGUGUGAAUCACAGGUGGUGUGCUCAGGCAUGCCAAUGAAUACCUCACAUCUUCAGAUCUAAACCUGCUGCCAUAACUGCUUGAAAACAUAGAUAGUGGAGAUGAUACAGAUUAUUCAUAUGGAUUCUUAAAUUCCAGAUUUCCAUGUGCAGUGAACGUGUCCUUUCUGGCAUAAGGCUGAAACCUGCCCUCUGUCUGUGGCCUGCAGAUGUGAAGACGCUUCUGACUGAAAAGUAAAAAUGAAAAGAGAAAGUGGCUCUACCGUGAUCAGCAAAUGGAUUCUUAGUUGUUUUCCCCUCUGGGUAUCAUGUCCAAAAGACAACUUUUUUUUUUUUUCCUUUCUGGGGUAUAUUUGACAUAAUGAUGGGCUAUCUUAAUGUACUGAAAGGCUAUACCACAAAGAAGUGACAUCUUUUGAAGUAGAUUACUUAAGAGGCUUCGCAGUCGUUUGCACCUGGCAUUGAAGAGGGCGGAAUCCGCCCGUGAGGCUGCCUAUCAGCCAUUUGACUUUGGGGGAGAACGAGAAAAGGGCUGGAGGCUGGUGCGGGGAGAAAGCUGGCUGAGAAACUGGGGCCAGAUAACAGGUUGCAGUGGGAGCUGCCUGAUCUGUAAGUGGAAGUAGUUUAUAAGGGGCACGAGCUAGGACUAGCAGGAGGAGAGGGGAAAGGGGUAACUAUCUAGAAACUUCAGAGGACUCUUCAGAGGACAUAAAGAACUCUCUACUUGGGUCCUCGUGUUAAAACCUGGGUUAUGCACCCAGGUUGUGAGCUUAGCGUGAGGUCCUUCAACACACUGGCUAGGACAGCAGCCCUGAAGGCCCCAGAGAGGUUCCAACGGGGGCUCCACUCACUCACUGUGUGACUUUGGGCAUGUUUCUUCUCUAAGUUUGUUUCCUUGGCCAUAAAAGGGAAGACUUAUGUGUCCCUGACAGGGAUGUGAAGGUCAAAUGAGAUAGUUCUGGAAAGCUCUCAUAUAGUGUCUCAUACAUAGGAACCAUUCAGUAAAUAGUACCUAUAACUAUUGAGGACAACAAGCUACUUGACUGCAGAGUCAACACAGAAAAGGGUGAGUGGGUCUGCUGGGCUCUAGGGUUGUACAGAGAAGGAACUGGACAGAGCAAGGAGGCCCCAGAGAAGAGCAGACCUGUGGGGAAACAAGGUCUGUAGGUGCUCAUUAAAUAGAACUGCCUCAUUACCUCUUCCUCGCUUGAGAAAUCUGAGGACUAGUGUCCAUGACCUCUGAGCUUCUUGAGCUCUGGGAUCUUAAUCUAAUAUGACCAAAGCUGAAAAGGUCCAGGCAGUAGGUCAAAAACGUUCCUUGCUUCUCGUCCUACCUAUAAAAGCCAGCUGUGGCCAGCUGAAUACCAGGGAGUAGCUGGCUCUUUGGCCAAGGUGAGUGGAAAGCAAGACUGCCAGGCACACGGGGCACCAGGAGGGGGCAGAGUGCCAUCUGGUGGUAGUCCUAGUUGAUGGCACAGAGCAGGCAAUCCAAGGGAGUGGAUCUGGGCAAGGUCUGUGGGAUUAUAAAGGAGCAUUUGUUGAGCACUUUCCCUGUGGAAGUCACUGUACUAAAUACUUUAUGUGUACUUUCCCAUUCCAACCUCUUAUAAAGCAGGUGCUGUUCACACCAACUUACAGAGGAAGAAACUGAGGAAGAAUGAUUAGAGCAAGGUGACCCCUGAGAAAAUCUAAGGCAAAUCACAACACUGGCCUACUGUCUAUCUCUAUGGAACUGACUACUGUUGACACUUCAUCCAUAUUACCAUAACCUCGUAAAUCAGACCCCCUAAAUCCUCUCCUGAGUCCCACAUUCCUCUGGCCGGACAAGCUGCCAUUCUGCAUACCUUCUGGAAAAGCUUGUCAUCGGGUGUGGGGGUAUUGGCAGUGCGGCGCA